AGCUCCAAUAGCGUAUAUUAAAGUUGUUGCAGUUAAAAGCUCGUAGUUGGAUUUGUGGCUGUCCCGAGCGGCCUAACACUUAGUGUUAGUGUCAGCUUGGGUCGCCAUCCUUGGGUGGAACCUAUGUGGCAUUAGGUUGUCGUGUAGGGGAUGCCCAUCGUUUACUGUGAAAAAUUAGAGUGUUCAAAGCAGGCUUAUGCCGUUGAAUAUAUUAGCAUGGAAUAAUAAGAUAGGACCUUGGUACUAUUUUGUUGGUUUGCGCACCAAGGUAAUGAUUAAUAGGGACAGUUGGGGGUAUUCGUAUUCCAUUGUCAGAGGUGAAAUUCUUGGAUUUUUGGAAGACGAACUACUGCGAAAGCAUUUACCAAGGAUGUUUUCA
rnacentral:rRNA from 1 species